rnacentral:rRNA from 1 species
AUUGAACGCUGGCGGCAUGCCUUACACAUGCAAGUCGAACGGCAGCACGGGUGCUUGCACCUGGUGGCGAGUGGCGAACGGGUGAGUAAUACAUCGGAACAUGUCCUGUAGUAGGGGAUAGCCCGGCGAAAGCCGGAUUAAUACCGCAUACGAUCUACGAAUGAAAGCGGGGGACCUUCGGGCCUCGCGCUAUAGGGUUGGCCGAUGGCUGAUUAGCUAGUUGGUGGGGUAAAGGCCUACCAAGGCGACGAUCAGUAGCUGGUCUGAGAGGACGACCAGCCACACUGGGACUGAGACACGGCCCAGACUCCGACGGGAGGCAGCAGUGGGGAAUUUUGGACAAUGGGCGAAAGCCUGAUCCAGCAAUGCCGCGUGUGUGAAGAAGGCCUUCGGGUUGUAAAGCACUUUUGUCCGGAAAGAAAUCCUUGGCCCUAAUACGGUCGGGGGAUGACGGUACCGGAAGAAUAAGCACCGGCUAACUACGUG